CUCAGGAUGAACGCUGGCGGCGUGCCUAAUACAUGCAAGUCGAACGCACAGCGAAAGGUGCUUGCACCUUUCAAGUGAGUGGCGAACGGGUGAGUAACACGUGGACAACCUGCCUCAAGGCUGGGGAUAACAUUUGGAAACAGAUGCUAAUACCGAAUAAAACUUAGUGUCGCAUGACAAAAAGUUAAAAGGCGCUUCGGCGUCACCUAGAGAUGGAUCCGCGGUGCAUUAGUUAGUUGGUGGGGUAAAGGCCUACCAAGACAAUGAUGCAUAGCCGAGUUGAGAGACUGAUCGGCCACAUUGGGACUGAGACACGGCCCAAACUCCUACGGGAGGCUGCAGUAGGGAAUCUUCCACAAUGGGCGAAAGCCUGAUGGAGCAACGCCGCGUGUGUGAUGAAGGCUUUCGGGUCGUAAAGCACUGUUGUAUGGGAAGAACAGCUAGAAUAGGAAAUGAUUUUAGUUUGACGGUACCAUACCAGAAAGGGACGGCUAAAUACGUGCCAGCAGCCGCGGUAAUACGUAUGUCCCGAGCGUUAUCCGGAUUUAUUGGGCGUAAAGCGAGCGCAGACGGUUUAUUAAGUCUGAUGUGAAAGCCCGGAGCUCAACUCCGGAAUGGCAUUGGAAACUGGUUAACUUGAGUGCAGUAGAGGUAAGUGGAACUCCAUGUGUAGCGGUGGAAUGCGUAGAUAUAUGGAAGAACACCAGUGGCGAAGGCGGCUUACUGGACUGCAACUGACGUUGAGGCUCGAAAGUGUGGGUAGCAAACAGGAUUAGAUACCCUGGUAGUCCACACCGUAAACGAUGAACACUAGGUGUUAGGAGGUUUCCGCCUCUUAGUGCCGAAGCUAACGCAUUAAGUGU
rnacentral:rRNA from 1 species